AGACCCGAAACCCGGUGAUCUAGCCAUGGGCAGGUUGAAGGUUGGGUAACACUAACUGGAGGACCGAACCGACUAAUGUUGAAAAAUUAGCGGAUGACCUGUGGCUGGGGGUGAAAGGCCAAUCAAACCGGGAGAUAGCUGGUUCUCCCCGAAAGCUAUUUAGGUAGCGCCUCGUGAAUUCAUCUCCGGGGGUAGAGCACUGUUUCGGCUAGGGGGCCAUCCCGGCUUACCAACCCGAUGCAAACUGCGAAUACCGGAGAAUGUUAUCACGGGAGACACACGGCGGGUGCUAACGUCCGUCGUGAAGAGGGAAACAACCCAGACCGCCAGCUAAGGUCCCAAAGUCAUGGUUAAGUGGGAAACGAUGUGGGAAGGCCCAGACAGCCAGGAUGUUGGCUUAGAAGCAGCCAUCAUUUAAAGAAAGCGUAAUAGCUCACUGGUCGAGUCGGCCUGCGCGGAAGAUGUAACGGGGCUAAACCAUGCACCGAAGCUGCGGCAGCGACGCUGAUGCGUUGUUGGGUAGGGGAGCGUUCUGUAAGCCUGUGAAGGUGGCCUGUGAGGGUUGCUGGAGGUAUCAGAAGUGCGAAUGCUGACAUAAGUAACGAUAAAGCGGGUGAAAAGCCCGCUCGCCGGAAGACCAAGGGUUCCUGUCCAACGUUAAUCGGGGCAGGGUGAGUCGACCCCUAAGGCGAGGCCGAAAGGCGUAGUCGAUGGGAAACGGGUUAAUAUUCCCGUACUUGGUGUUACUGCGAAGGGGGGACGGAGAAGGCUAUGUUGGCCGGGCGACGGUUGUCCCGGUUUAAGCGUGUAGGUGUGUGUUCCAGGUAAAUCCGGUUCACUUUAACACUGAGGCGUGACGACGAGGCACUACGGUGCUGAAGCAACAAAUGCCCUGCUUCCAGGAAAAGCCUCUAAGCAUCAGGUAACAC
rnacentral:rRNA from 1 species